CUUAAUCAAAAGACCUCAAACAUAUCAAAUGUCUCUUUGCUCAAUUUCUUUUCUGCAAUACCACUUGUUUGCUCCCUUCCUUCUUUGUAAAAUUCUCAAUGUUGUCUCCGAUCGAAAACCUCAAAUCUAUCUACUCAGAUCAUAAAAUGUGAACCAUAUGGUAGAGAUUCAAAAGCCCUAAUUACAAAUUGUGACUCUAUCUCUCAAAUUUUUCUGACCCAUUUGCAAAUCUAGAGGAACCGACAGUCGUUUAAAGCUAAAGAAGGAAGGAGGAAAGUUUGAAGUUUGAAAAUCAUUGCGAGGGUUAUCAGGAAAGGGUUCCUUUUAGCAGCACAGAAAGAAGAUCUGCAGAGAGUGGUAGACUUGCUUUCGCUUACGGGACAUCAUACACGUUCGUUGCUUAUUCAUUAUCUAUGGGAUGUUGAUAAGGUCUUUGCAGUGUUUGUUGAUAGAGGGAAAGAAAAAUUAUACGUGGAAGCUGGUGUAUCGCUUGAAGAGAAAGAUGAUCAGCAUCCUGCCUCUGAGCCCUCAACUGAAAUAACAUGUGAAAUCUGCUUCGAAGACUUCCUGCUGAGGAAACGACGCUGAUGGAUUGCAAUCAUAGGUUUUGCAAUGAUUCCAAGAUAAUGAGGCAAAGACACAUUGAUAGGGGUGCGCUGACACUUGCUUCUGCUGAAGUCAAAUUUCAGAUUGAUACUGAAACUCAUGACCCUCUUGAUAUCGAAGCAUGAGUAAGGUUCUUGAAAAUAAAAGUUUCUUAAGGAGGAAGAAGGAACACAACUUGUAACAUGGACAAGAUUUCUGAACAAUCACAAAUGGCGAUGAUCAAGGAGUUUGAAGACAUUUAAUGUUUAGUUUUUUCUUCUUUUUAUUUUGGGUCAUAAGACAUCGACCAAGGAGUAGUUCAAAGUAUGAAGAUACUUAAUGUAUUGUUUUUCCUUUGUCAUGUGUAAAUGCAUACAAUGGCAAUAAACAAGAAAGUAUUGGGCAGUGUAUUAGCUAAUUGACUAUACAAUAAUGAAAGUAUUUAUAGUAUUUGUGUUGAGAAAUA